GAGAGAUUUAGUCACAGCUGAGGCUUAUUUUCCCAUAGGUUAUUCCCAGUCAAAGACCUCGAAAAAUACGGAAUUUGCAUCUAAUUUAAAUAAGCAGGAGAAAAACUUAAAUAAUAAACUAUUUGAUGAAUUUCUAGAGCAAGAGCUCUCUGCAGUUCCGUUUACUCCUGUGUUUCGUGAAGAGGCAAGUAUAGCAACCAAGUCGACUGCAAAGAGCAUCACGGAAGAAAAUGAAUUUCUACAGCAAGAGCUCUCUGCAGUUCGGUUUACUCCUGUGUUUCAUGAAAAGGCAAGUACAGCAACCAAGUCGACUGCAAAGAGCAUCACGGAAGAAAAUGAAUUUCUACAGCAAGAGUUCUCUGCAGUUCUGUUUACUCCUGAGGUUCGUGAAAAGGCAAGUACAGCAGCCAAGUCAACUACAAAGAGCAUCACAGAACAAAGUAAGUCUAUCUUUUUAAGCCUCUGAGUUCACAGAUUUUUAAAGGCCUAUUUAUU
rnacentral:lncRNA from 1 species